GAUGAACGCUGGCGGCGUGCCUAAUACAUGCAAGUCGAGCGAACAGACGAGGAGCUUGCUCCUCUGACGUUAGCGGCGGACGGGUGAGUAACACGUGGAUAACCUACCUAUAAGACUGGGAUAACUUCGGGAAACCGGAGCUAAUACCGGAUAAUAUAUUGAACCGCAUGGUUCAAUAGUGAAAGACGGUUUUGCUGUCACUUAUAGAUGGAUCCGCGCCGCAUUAGCUAGUUGGUAAGGUAACGGCUUACCAAGGCAACGAUGCGUAGCCGACCUGAGAGGGUGAUCGGCCACACUGGAACUGAGACACGGUCCAGACUCCUACGGGAGGCAGAAGUAGGGAAUCUUCCGCAAAGGGCGAAAGCCUGACGGAGCAACGCCGCGUGAGUGAUGAAGGUCUUCGGAUCGUAAAACUCUGUUAUUAGGGAAGAACAAAUGUGUAAGUAACUAUGCACGUCUUGACGGUACCUAAUCAGAAAGCCACGGCUAACUACGUG
rnacentral:rRNA from 1 species